rnacentral:rRNA from 1 species
CUACGGGGCGCACCAGUGGGGAAUAUUGCACAAUGGACGAAAGUCUGAUGCAGCAACGCCGCGUGGAGGAUGACACAUUUCGGUGCGUAAACUCCUUUUAUAUAAGAAGAUAAUGACGGUAUUAUAUGAAUAAGCACCGGCUAACUCCGUGCCAGCAGCCGCGGUAAUACGGGGGGUGCAAGCGUUACUCGGAAUCACUGGGCGUAAAGCGCAUGUAGGCGGACUUGUAAGUUGGAAGUGAAAUCCUAUGGCUCAACCAUAGAACUGCUUCCAAAACUGCUUGUCUAGAAUAUGGGAGAGGUAGAUGGAAUUUCUGGUGUAGGGGUAAUAUCCGUAGAGAUCAGAAGGAAUACCGAUUGCGAAGGCGAUCUACUGGAACAUUAUUGACGCUCAGAUGCGAAAGCGUGGGGAGCAAACAGGAUUAGAUACCCCGGUAGUC